AAAGGGGCCGCCGCCUUGGGCCGGAGUUGCCCUUUCCAAAAGGCUGGUCUUGUUUGAACCUCAGGGUCUUGCAAAAAUAGGCCUGGCCUUGAAUGUGAUUCUCCUUCCUCAGCCUGCCGGGUUGCUGAGAUUACAGCACACCACACCACAGCCCAGAUGUGGGAACGACCCAAGCUCCUGUAAGCGGUAAGUGGAUGGAUGGACACACAGCAUGGGAUAUGCUCACCUAGAGGGUCACUUGGCCAGGAGCAGAAGCAAGGUGACACGCUGCACCAUGGAUGGACCUCGAGAACCUUGUGCUCUGUGAGAACCAGAGACUAAAGGACACAGGACAGGGUCUUGCUGAGUUGCCCAGGCUUGUCUUGAACGUGUGAUCCUUCUGYAUCAGCCUCCCAAGUUGCUGGGAUGACAG